rnacentral:rRNA from 1 species
GUAUGAACGGCCACAUGAGGACCAAACUGUCUCCCCCGACCAAUCAAUGAACCUGAUCUCCUAGUACAAAAGCUAAGAUACGCCCAUAAGACGAGAAGACCCUGUGGAGCUUAAAAUACUAGCACUAACCACCCCAACCCCGACAGGCCCAAAUCACCAGAAUAGUGCACAUUUUCAGUUGGGGCGACUACGGAACCAAACUAAACUUCCCCGACAAGGACCACCCCUCCACCCAAGGCCAACAAGCCGACACACCAUUUGACCCAGCAAUGCUGACCAACGAACCAAGUUACCCCAGGGAUAACAGCGCCAUCCUCUUUAAGAGCCCCUAUCGCCAAGAGGGUUUACGACCUCGAUGUUGGAUCAGGACCCCCAGGUGGUGCAACCGCUACCAAUGGUUCGUUUG